UGGAUUUUUGUCCCCAAUGAAUGAAAAAGUACGUGUACAUGCUGGUUAAGUGGUGAAAUUGCCUAGGAUUCUACACACAAACAAUCAAUAGUCACCAGUGGCCACACCAACACUGUUGGUCAAAAACAAUCGCAAACAUGGACAUCAUGGCAAGAAACACAUUUGUCGCCCUCUGGCAUGUGGCAUGGUUCAUGAACAAUGAUCAACUUGCUAUGGAUGUUAUGGCCUUUUUACCUCUACUGCUCCACAUUUUGAUUUCCAGGUGUGCUUAACAAGGAUUUGGUUCUUUUGGGUUUCUGAAAUGGCUUUAACAUACUGGGAUUCAGUUUUGAUUUUUAGACUUGCGUUUGACGUAUUCACAUUUUUCAUCUGCUUUUAAUUCUUCCAGAUCUUGGCUUCGGUUUAAUCAGUAUUACCCUUUCAGGUUUUGUUAGGGCCAGAUUAAAGUGUGCCAACGGUUUUUACCCUUUCAGGUUUUACUCGCAACACUUGCUAAUGCUUUUGGUAUUGUUUCUGAACAAAGUUAUUUACUACUAUGUUAAUUAGCUUGAAUUUUAUGCUUCAAAGGAUAGCCCCUAUUGCUUAUAUAUCUGCUUUGCAGUCAUCAUCCUUAAGGGACAGUUUCCCUAGGCAUUGAUGUAGAACAAAGUAAUGUUAAUGCAGAAACAAUAAUUCUAAAAGCAAUCUAAAUAAUUCAUAAAUGAGGUGGCGAUAUCGAUACUCCUUCAACCUGAAACUAUUAUGGCAUUCUCUCUGAAAUACAAGAGCAACAAGCAUCAUCAUAUGAUGUUUUCUUAAGUUUCCGAGGAAAUUGGCAUUUUGAUAAACGAGUGUAAGAUCAUCCCUUUGUACAAUGAGGAUGAUGGAUAUAACAUUGUAGAAGAUCCGUUAUUUUAUUACAAGUCAUGCAAAUUACCCACAGGGUCGAGAUCUAUAUUACUGUGAGUUAACUUCAGGAGAUUACUUCAUGGUCCAUGGACGUUCUAUAGUGGGUGUGGAUUCCUCUUUCUGGGAAAAUGAUUUUACACGUCUGUUCAGAGAAGAUACAUAACUUGGAAAAUUUGUUGGCUACAUUCCCCAUUAUAAAUG